rnacentral:rRNA from 1 species
GUGGGGAAUCUUCCGCAAUGGGCGAAAGCCUGACGGAGCAACGCCGCGUGAUCGAAUGAAGGCCUUCGGGUUGUAAAGAUCUGUUGACAGGGACGAAUAAGCAAUGCGAAUAGUUUUGUGUAUGACGGUACCUGUUUAGAAAGCUCCGGCUAACUACGUGCCAGCAGCCGCGGUAAUACGUAGGGAGCAAGCGUUGUCCGGAAUUACUGGGCGUAAAGGGCGCGUAGGUGGGCGCUUAAGUCAGGUGUGAAAACUCCGGGCUCAACCUGGAGACUGCACUUGAAACUGGGUGUCUUGAGGGCAGGAGAGGAAAGUGGAAUUCCUAGUGUAGCGGUGAAAUGCGUAGAUAUUAGGAGGAACACCAGUGGCGAAGGCGACUUUCUGGACUGUACCUGACGCUGAGGCGCGAAAGCGUGGGUAGCGAACGGGAUUAGAUACCCUAGUAGUCC